GACGAAGAACGUAGCGAAAUGCGAUAAGUAAUGUGAAUUGCAGAAUUCAGUGAAUCAUCGAAUCUUUGAACGCACAUUGCGCCCGCCAGUAUUCUGGCGGGCAUGCCUGUUCGAGCGUCAUUUCAACCAUCAAGCCCCAGGCUUGUGUUGGGGACCUGCGGCUGCCGCAGGCCCUGAAAACCAGUGGCGGGCUCGCUGUCACACCGGGCGUAGUAGAUUUUAUCUCGCUCAGGGCGUGCUGCGGGUUCCGGCCGUUAAAAAGCCUUUUUUACCCAAGGUUGACCUCGGAUCAGGUAGGAAGACCCGCUGAACUUAAGCAUAUCAAUAAGCGGAGGA
rnacentral:misc_RNA from 1 species